AUCCUUGCAACCUCCGCCCCAAGAGUCCUCGCUGCCGGCCGGCGCCACCAUCUUCUCGCAGUGCAAGCAGCCAGUGCCUUGUCGCCUUACUUGCCGGCGACCCAGUGCCGCUUCGUCGUCGUCGAGCUAGCGGCGUCGCAACCUUCCCCUGGAGCCAUUGUCCUGCGCCAUCUCCCCGUGGACGCGGUGCCGGCCGCAGCCGUAGUCUUCUCGUGGAUCCACCGGCCAACACCGCCACCAACCAUCUCGUCCACGGCCAUCUCCUCGCUUCUCAUGGCUGCUGCUCGUCGGCUCCUCCACACCUCUCCAGUAGGUACUGCCAUGCUCUGUGCGUAGGAUACACAAUGGUCUGGGAUAUCAAUAAUGUUCCUCUUCUUUUGUAGGGUUUCAUGGCUUUGCAGAUGCUUUUGUAGCUUUCAUGGGAUGAUGAGGGCCUUCAUUUGUGCGAAUAUACACAAGUUGCUGGCAUUUCUUCAUUUUGCAUAGUACAAACUUUGUUGUUAUGUGUAAAUGAGGCCAUAUGAACGGUUCAUCACCAUGAGGCUUCAAAUCAUAGUAACCAGCAAGGUCACAAAUUUAUAAUAACAGGAUUGAUGUGCAAAUCUGAUCAGAAAAGGGAGUAAACUACAACCAGGACAGAUCAGGACUCUUUUCAGUUUUUACUGAUGACAUGCUUCCUCAGUUAAUGAUUCUUUUAUUGAUCCACUACUUCCACUCCAUGCAGUACACCUGUGAAAUGUGCCUGCUUUGACUGUUUUGUAUACAACAAUACAAGUACCCACCUCUUUCCUCUUGACAAGUACCCACCUGGUCACCUCUCCAUCAACCCCUUUCCUUCUCUCUAGGGUGCAUCCUAAACUGCUGUCAUAUAUAUGGUGUUUGCUUCUUAAAAUCCUUUUGCUUUACAUAAAACUGCAAUCCAGACUAUGAACGAGCACUUAUGGUUGAAAUCCUAUAGCUCUUAAUUAUUAUUACUCUGAAUGUCUACUACUUUGCUGUGCUCCUUAUUUUCAGGGUAAACAUGUGCCAUGAAAAGUUGCAUUAGGUAAGUGUCAGCCAGCUAUUGCUGAUAAUCUGGCAUGAGCUACAUUACUGUUGUUAUGGAAAAAUGGAAAGGCAUUAAACUGGGGUACUAUUGUUGCUAAUCUGGGAUGAGUUAGAUUUUUGUUGGGCUGCAUUACUGUUGUUAUGGGAAAAUGGAAAGGUAUUAAGCAGGGGUACAUAUUUGUUGCUAAUCUAGGAUUAACUACAUACUUUUUCCAGUUAGAUUCAUCUCUAGCAGCAUCAGCUUUAUAGAUCUUUGAUCUUAGUUAAUCCUAUUGAAUAGUGCUUUUUUUUCUAAUUAUUUU
rnacentral:lncRNA from 1 species